rnacentral:rRNA from 1 species
UACGAAGGGGGCUAGCGUUGCUCGGAAUCACUGGGCGUAAAGCGCACGUAGGCGGAUCGUUAAGUCGGAGGUGAAAUCCUGGAGCUCAACUCCAGAACUGCCUUCGAUACUGGCGAUCUUGGAGUCCGGGAGAGGUGAGUGGAACUCCGAGUGUAGAGGUGAAAUUCGUAGAUAUUCGGAAGAACACCAGUGGCGAGGCGGCUCACUGGCCCGGUACUGACGCUGAGGUGCGAAAGCGUGGGGAGCAAACAGG